UACGUAGGUGGCAAGCGUUGUCCGGAUUUACUGGGCGUAAAGGGCGUGCAGGCGGUUUGUUUAGUCUAGGGUGAAAGCUCCCGGCUUAACUGGGAGAGGUCCUUGGAUACUGGCAAACUUGAGGGAGGCAGAGGAAAGUGGAAUUCCCGGUGUAGCGGUGAAAUGCGCAGAUAUCAGGAGGAACACCGGUGGCGAAGGCGGGUCUCUGGGCCGAAACUGACGCUGAGGAGCGAAAGCGUGGGGAGCGAACAGG
rnacentral:rRNA from 1 species